GCGUCACCUCGAACAAGUCGC
rnacentral:misc_RNA from 1 species